rnacentral:ncRNA from 1 species
AAGGCCUGAUGUGUGUGAGAUUACCCGCUGAAUUUAAGCAUAUAAGUAAGCGGAGGAAAAGAAACUAACUAGGAUUCCCUUAGUAAUGGCGAAUGAACAGGGAUCAGCUCAGUGCCAAAUCGGAAUCACUUGUGGUUCUGAAAUGUGGCUUGAAGGCAGUACCAGCCCAUCACCACCCCAAAUCUGCGCAACGAAAAAGGUCAAUUUUAAGUAAAAUUCACUUAAAUUUCACUUAAAUUCACUUAAAUGGAAUGCGCAGAUUUAGACCAUUUUGGUGACAUUUCCAAAUGACCUACCACAUAUGGUCCACUGUAACACCCCAUCCUCAGAAGCAUACCCAUAUGGUUGAAAUCGAGCCACAUGGCCUACAUCAACUUUUAUACCCACCUGCAAGUCAAUUUCGCCCAUGUGCGAAAUUGAUGUGCAGCUUUCGCGAGCAUCUUUGACCAAACGUGCACAUCGAUUUCGCGCAUCCCCCUCCACCCCUUGGACAAUGUUAUAAACUAUGUUCACUUGUCUCUCUAUUGAACUACUGGACUCUUCUGUGGGCUAGCAUAGGCUGCUUCACAAUACAAGACAAAAGAGGAACAAUGUCCAAGGGGGUGGGGAGGGGGUUUGUAAAAAAAUGUACGACUUUUGCAAAAAGCCAGCAGCACCCUAAGGACUUCCCGGGCGGUCCCCCACCCCAGUACUAUCCGGGCCUGCGCC